GGAAACAGGUUAAUAUUCCUGUACUUGGUGUUACUGCGAAGGGGGGACGGAGAAGGCUAUGUUAGCCGGGCGACGGUUGUCCCGGUUUAAGCAUGUAGGCGGAACGAUUAGGUAAAUCCGGUCGUUUUUUAACGCUGAGGUGUGAUGACGAGGCACUACGGUGCUGAAGUAACAAAUGCCCUGCUUCCAGGAAAAGCCUCUAAGCAUCAGGUAACAUCAAAUCGUACCCCAAACCGACACAGGUGGUCAGGUA
rnacentral:rRNA from 1 species